rnacentral:ncRNA from 1 species
AAAAGGGGGAGCUUGCGCGGGAAGCAGGCUGAGAGUAAGCUGCAUGCUUAGACCCGUGACCUGAUUUGGGUAAUGCCAGCGUAGGGAGAAAAUAA